rnacentral:lncRNA from 1 species
CAAGAAUGUGUGUGUUGGGACAACAUUAGAAGGAGGAAAAGAUGCCAACUUAAGCCAGAUCCUAAGGCUGGAGAGCAGCGGCACCUCUGAUUUAGCCAUAGUCAAAGUUGGGAAAGACAGCAUCAUGUUAAUGUACCCAGACUGAUCAAUUGUUAAAUGAAGGAAGGAAGACUCUCCCCAGCCCAUGAGAGAAGAUGGAAAAUUUGGACAGUCCCCUCUCUGCUUCGGGGUGGGCACUUUUUCUGCUGUGUGUUCUGCAGUAUGUGAGGUUUUCCUACCCCAGUGAAAGUCUUUCUUCAACUUCUGAUUCCUUCUCUGUUUGCCGUGUUCAAGAUUUCUCCACUGCUUCCUGCUGGCCCUUUUUCUGCCUCUUUAUUCUCUAACAGGCAGAGAAAACAUGGGAACAGCAGUCUCUGAUGUGCUGACUAUGCCACUGUCCUGGUGUGAGAAGAACGUUCUAUCGUUACACAGGUCAGGGGAGGCAAGGGCCACAGCUGCCUGUGUUUGCUUCUUUUAAUUGGGUUGCUUUUGAUUUCCAACUUAUUUGACUUGGGUUCCAGAUUUGUUUUCCCUGUGUGACACCGACUUGGAUGCUAUUAACAGG